CUCCCUGGGAGGGAUCUCUUGCCUUCUGUCUCUGUCUCUCUGAAAAUUCCAUCACAGAAGCAUGACCAGCUGAAGUCGUCGUCACCCAGCAGCCGCCAGUGAUGUUAGAGGUGUCAGUUCACUAAAACGGUUGGAAUUUCCUUUCUCACCCUAAGUAAAUAAGCGUUCUGUCAUGA